rnacentral:rRNA from 1 species
GAUGAACGCUGGCGGCGUGCCUAAUACAUGCAAGUCGAGCGAACAGACGAGGCUCUUGCUCCGCUGACGUUAGCGGCGGACGGGUGAGUAACACGUGUAUAACCUACCUAUAAGACUGGGAUCACUUCGGGAAACCGGAGCUAAUACCGGAUAAUAUAUUGAACCGCAUGGUUCAAUAGUGAAAGACGGUUUUGCUGUCCCUUAUAGAUGGUUCCGCGCCGCAUUAGCUAGUUGGUAGGGUAACGGCUUACCAAGGCUACGAUGCGUAGCCGACCUGAGAGGGUGAUCGGCCACACUGGAACUGAGACACGGUCCAGACUCCUACGGGAGGCAGCAGUAGGGAAUCUUCCGCAAUGGGCGAAAGCCUGACGGAGCAACGCCGCGUGAGUGAUGAAGGUCUUCGGAUCGUAAAGCUCUGUUAUUAGGGAAGAACAAAUGUGUAAGUAACUAUGCACGUCUUGACGGUACCUAAUCAGAAAGCCACGGCUAACUACGUG